AUUGAACGCUGGCGGCAGGCCUAACACAUGCAAGUCGAACGAGUGGCGGACGGGUGAGUAAUGUCUGGGAAACUGCCUGAUGGAGGGGGAUAACUACUGGAAACGGUAGCUAAUACCGCAUACCAUCAGAUGUGCCCAGAUGGGAUUAGCUAGUUGGCGGGGUAACGGCUCACAAAGGCGACGAUCCCUCGCUGGUCUGAGAGGAUGACCAGCCACACUGGAACUUGGACAUGGUCCAGACUCCUACGGGAGGCAGCAGUGGGGAAUAUUGCACAAUGGGCGCAGGCCUGAUACAGCCAUGCCGCUUGUAUGAAGAAGGCCUUCGGGUUGUAAAGUACUUGCAGCGGGGAGGCGUUACCCGCAGAGGAAGCACCGGCUAACUCCGUGCCAGCAGCCGCGGUAAUAC
rnacentral:rRNA from 1 species